rnacentral:tRNA from 1 species
CAGAGGGUAGUUUAACUUAGAAUCUNA